UAAUACGAGGGGUGCAAGCGUUAUUCGGAAUUAUUGGGCGUAAAGGGUGUGUAGGUGGCUUAUUAAGUCGAUUGUUAAAGAUCUCGGCCUAACUGAGAAAAUGCGGUCGAAACUGGUGAGCUUGAGGAUGGAAGAGAGAAGUGGAAUUCUCGGAGUAGCGGUAAAAUGCGUAGAUCUCGAGAGGAACACCGAUGGCGAAGGCAGCUUCUUGGGCCAUUCCUGACACUGAAACACGAAAGCGUGGGGAGCAAACAGGAUUAGAUACCCUGGUAGUCCACGCUGUAAACGAUGAUCACUAGACGUCAGUAUCGCUUUGCGAUUUUGGUGUCGUAGCUAACGCGUUAAGUGAUCCGCCUGGGGAGUACGGUCGCAAGACUA
rnacentral:rRNA from 1 species